ensembl:lncRNA
AUAUAACAUAUCAUAUAGGAAAACGGCCAAUUUCAUAUAUGUCACAUAUAUCUAAUACCUAUAUCAAAACAUAUAUGUUUAUAUAGGUUCUUUCCAUGUGGGAUGUUCUAGUCUCUGCAACAGGAUACAAUGAUCUAUAGUGUCAAAUACGGCACUGAGGUCCAGCAAAACAAGAAAAGAGAUGAGUCCUUGGUCCGAUGCAAGUAGAAGAUCAUUCGUAAUUUUCACCAGUGCCGUUUCUGUGCGAUGAUGCACUCGAAAUCCUGACUGGAAAUCCUCGAACAAAGCAUUGUUUUGUAGAAAGUCACACAUUGAUUUGCGAUGGAUUUCUCAAGGAUCUUAGCGAGGACGGAAAGAUUAGAGAUAGGUCUGUAGCAAGAGUAGGUGUCUUAAGAAGAGGUUUAAUUACAGCCACCUUGAAGGACUGUGGUACAUGUCCUGUCAACAAAGACAGAUUCAUAAUAUCAAGUAAAGACGUGCUAACAAAAAGAAAAACUUCCUUAAGCAGCUUAGUUAGAAAUCAGAUCCAAGAGACAAGUAGAAGAUUUAGACUUCGAAAUUAUAGAAGUCAAUUGAUAGAGGUUGAUUGAAGAGAGGGCAUCCAAGCAGGCAUCAGGGCCUACUGCUGCAUCCAAGGUUCCUACAUCUGAGGACAGAUCAGCACUGGUUGAAGGCAGGAGACCAUAAAUUUUCUCUUUGAUAGUCAGAAUCUUGAAAUUCAUGAAGUCUACUACUACUGAGGUCCAAAGGAAUACACGGCUCGACAGAGCUGUGACUUUGUCAGUCUGGAUACAGUGCUGAAGAGAAACCUGGAGUAGUUUUUAUUUUUCUCUAUUAAUGAUGAGUAAUAAGAUGCUCUUGCGUUACGGAGAGCCUUCUCAUAUGUUUUAAGGCUGUCUUGCCAAACUAGCCUAGAUCCUGUGGUGAUUUGGUGGAACGCCAUAAUCGUUCGAGUUUCCACACAGUUUGCUUUAGGGUUCGGGUUUGAGGGUUAUACCUACAGUAGGAGCAAACUUUCUUCUUGUUGCUAUUCUUCUUUCCAGAGGAACAAUAGCAUCAAGUAGAUCAAGUUUGGGAGAGGGCCAGAGAAAAUUAAGAUGUCCGACAUUGUUUCAGCGUAUGUAGACACCGAUUCCACUCUAAUGACCUCCGAGCGACGAAAUCGGGAAUCAUUACCGCCGACGUCAAUUACAAUUUUACUGUAUUUACAUUUAUCCUUAGCCAGCAGUUUACGAUUAGACUGAAUUUCGCCCGCUCUGGCCCCGGGUAUACAUGUAACUAUGGUCCCUGGUUUCGCUAACUUGGUUAGACGUUCACUUUUGAACCAAUUUGCAAAGUCUUUUCAACAUCGGCCAUAAACGUCUUUUAAACGUUGUUUCAACGAAUAAAUUGCUCGCUGGAAACUUACAAGUUACAUACUUGGUCACUUGUUAACAGCCCUUAACAAGGACAAAUACUGUCACGGGGAACUCUAGGGGAGGACUCGGACGCAGAGUUAAGGUUCAGUAGAAGUUUUUAUUGUCCAACAAAAAACGCAGGGACGACCCUGGAAACGUAAAACUUCUCCAAAGAGAGAGGAAUGGAAAAUGCUCCAGCAAAACUGAGCGAGCGGAUUAGGAAACGAAAGAAAAAGCCAAACUCUCGCUUAGCGAGGAAAUAACAAAAAAGUCUAUUGUCUAGACUAUUGAAGGCACUAAACAAACGUGAGGAGCUGUGGAACUAUAAAAGGCUCACGACCAUCUAUGGAGAUCUCAAGGUGGCGGAGCAAGAGCAUAAACUGUGACCUGGGCUUAAAUCCUCUCUGGGGCGGGUGUGCAUGGCAAAAGGACAUAACACACUGGCACAGGAUAAGGGGAGACGCAGACUAUUUACACAUGAGGGAAGUGUGGGAACAGGUGGACACGAUUAGGAAUCAGGGAAGACAAUAAGACUGGUGACACACGAGGAGGGGCCAGGAACCUGAAACGAGAGGAGGGUUAAAUAUCAAAAUAAAACAGGAAGUCACAAAACAACCAUUGAGACGGGACAGAAGCCCAACUUGACCUACAGGUGUGACAAAACACAUUUUAUUAAUUUUUAUUUAUUAUAAAUAUAACACAACACUAUACAUAUCAAAACACUUUUCCUAAUUAAAAACAAAACAACAAAAAAUAUAUAUUUCAGGGAAAUAAACUAUGGAAUUAAAAGUGCAGAAACUACAUGGACUAGUUUAGAAUUCUGUGUUUCUAGCCCAUUUUUUCUGAAUCAUUGGAAUUUCAUUUUCAGAUUCUGUAACAAGAUCUGACUGAGUCAUUUGAAUUGGGAUAGUAUACCUAUCCCAUCUCCCAGCUGCAUCUCCCUCACUUGAUGAUUCUUUGUGUAAAGGGAGUCAGAAUGCGCAGAACACCCCUCAAUUGCAGAUUCCUCUGGUCAACGUGUUUUAUAUUAGAAAUGAUUCUAAUAUUGAGAGUAGUAAGCCAGGUGUAAGGCAGGACCACUCCAGGCACAACCUCCAUCAGAUGCAACCUCCAUCCACAAAAACCUGUCAGGAGGGAAAGCGCAAAGACUUCAGGGAAAAGGCAAAGUUGGUAAUUUGGGUUUAUGAUGACAGUAAUAAUAAAGUGACUAAUAAUAAUGAUAACAGCAGCGGGUGUGUUAGAACCCUCAUUUAUAGAAGUCUCAGAACCCUUGUGUGUAGAAGAUCCUUCGGGUCAUCAGUUGUGAUCAAAGUAGCUACAGCAUCGAUUUUGGCUUUAAGCGCCACUCCAUCUUGAAGUCUUAAUAUUAUUUACUUCUAACAUUAUAGACAAGUAACGCUGGAGAGACAUUCACCAGGGGACUGUACCUUUAAGGGAAAGUGUUUUGGUUAACGUGCGUGUCCGCAGUAGUUCUCACGUGUUGUUUUGUAUUGUUGAAGUGGAGAGUAAAGCUGACUCAACGCAUCUCCGUCUCCUGUCUCGUCACUUUUCACCCUCCACAUUUUGGUGACCCCGACGCUUGAACACGGCUGAUCAUGUCGAACAACGACGGUGGUGAGAAUGCUGCUGCUGCGGUGCCGGCCGUUGUUAGCGGUGGGGCUAAUGUCGGCGCUAUCUACGCAGCCACAAUCAAGCUACCGGACUUUUGGCAGUGCAACCCGCGGCCGUGGUUUCAACACAUCGAGGCUCAGUUCCAGCUGAGAGGAAUUACGCAGGAUGUUACUAAGUAUUUCCACGUUGUUUCGGCCUUGGAUGCCUCGACGACGGCCAGGGCUAUGGCGCUGUUGGAGGCUCCUCCAGCUAACGGAAAGUACGAUGCACUCAAAACAUUUCUGUUAAAACUCUUUGAACUGUCUGAGCUGGAGAAAGCGGACCGUCUGCUGUCCCUGAAUGGACUUUGUGACGGCAAGCCGUCCGAGUUUAUGGAGAGGAUGCAGGCUGUGCUGGGCGCGGCGGAUCCCUCGUUCCUCUUCGCCCACAUCUUCCUGCGGCAGCUUCCAGCGCCCGUGCGCACCGCGCUGGCCUGCUCCGCCCUCACUUCCUCCAUGGACUAUCGGGCGCUGGCGUUGGAGGCAGACAGGAUUUUCCUCGCCAACCGGCAGCAGUUUGUCCACGCGCUGCUACCCCCCCAGCACACGUCUGCUUCGCUUCCACCCCGGACGGCCCGGACACUGCAGCGGCUGUAACGGCCGCCAACAGCGGGAGGACGGGUGGUGUUAUUACCAUUCCAGGUUUGGGGCCAAGGCCAAGCAGUGUCGCCAGCCUUGCAGUUUUGGGGCCCAGGGAAAAGCCAGGGCCGGCGCUCAUUAGCAGCUAUGGGCGCUGGCCUUGACUGCAAGCUGUUAUUCGUCGCUGACACCUUGUCCGGCCAGCGGCUGCUGGUCGAUUCGGGGGCCCAGCGCAGCAUCCUGCCGGGGAAGUCUGUGGACACCAUGGCUGGCGGACAUGGCCCCCCGAUGGACGCUGCUAAUGGCACGCCCAUUCGUACCUACGGCACGAGGUAUGUGGAGGUGUGUUUCGGCGGGCGGCGUUUCGGCUGGGACUUCGUCAUGGCCGCCGUGUCUACGCCGCUCCUGGGCGCGGAUUUCCUGUGUGCUUACAGACUGUUGGUGGAUGUUACAAACUGCCGCCUGAUAAACGCCCUUUCUUUUGCUUCAUACCCUGCACGCUGGGGGGGGGCGCUUUGUCUGUCGAACACGUUUGCCACAGGUAUGUAUCUGUAUACCUGUAUCACCGCCUGCUGGCUGAAUUCCCGGAUAUCACCAUGCCCACGUUUUCAUCAGCGGUGGCUAAGCAUGGCGUGGAGCACUACAUCACCACGAUUGGCCCCCCAGUCUAUGCACGGGCCCGGCGCCUCGACUCGGCCAAGCUCGCGAUUGCCAAGGAGGAAUUCGCCACCAUAGAGUACCUCGGCAUCGUGCGCCGCUCCAACAGCCCUUUGGCGUCCCUGUGGUGAUUUCCGUCGCCUGAACAACGCCACCACCCCCGGCCGUUACCCAGUGCCGCACAUACAAGAUUUCUCCACCCACCUAGCUGGUGCCACAAUCUUUUCGAAGGUGGACCUGGUGCACGGUUACCACCAGGUGCCCGUCCGCCCGCAGGAUCUUCCCAAGACGGCAGUCAUCACGCCCUUUGGCCUUUUCGAAUUCCUGCGGAUGCCUUUCGGCCUCAAGGGUGCGGCGCAGACGUUUCAGCGCCUCAUGGACUCCGGGACAUGCCGUUCUUGUUUGUGUACUUGGACGACAUUCUUGUGGCCAGCGCGUCCGCAGACGACCACCUGACGCAUCUCCGGCAGCUGUUCGGCCGGCUAAGUGAGCAUGGUCUCAUCAUCAAAGUGCGAGUUUGGCCAGUCGUCCAUCACUUUUCUCGGCCACCACGUCACCCCGCAGGGAGCCGUACCCCUCCCGGCCAAGGUGGAGGCCGUCGCCGGUUUCCCACGCCCGCGCACUAUGAAGUCCCUGCAGGAGUUCCUGGGCAUGGUGAAUUUCUACAACCGUUUCCUUCCCCAUGCGGCUCAACUCAUGCGACCCUUGUAUGAUGCCUUGCGGGGUCGGAGGCCGGCGGACGUGUUGGAUUGGUCCGCAAGGACGGCUGCUGCUUUUGACGCUGCCAAAACCGCGCUGGCCAACGCUGCUCUGCUGGCACAUCCGUCUCCUACCGCCCCAGUUGCUCUUACUACAGACGCCUCGGAUUACGCAGUGGGGGCUGUGUGUAGUGGGUAGGCGGAGCCUGGCAGCCGCUGGCCUUUUUCAGCAGGAAACACCGUGACAACGAGAGGAAAUACAGGGCCUUCGACAGGGAGCUCCUGGGUCUUUUCCUCGCCACCCGUCAUUUCCGUUUCCUGUUGGAAGGCCGGCGGUUCACGGCUUUCGUUGACCACAAGCCGUUGACGUUCGCCAUGGCCAAGUCUUCGGAGCCAUGGUCUGGUUGACAGCAGUGCCAGCUCUCUGCUAUCUCAGAGUACACCACUGACUUUCAGCACGUGGCCGGCAAAGACGCGGACUCUGAGGUGCAGGCCUACAGGACGGCUCCCACGGAGUGACUCGUCAUACCAGGGCCCCUUUGGCACCUUUUAAAGUGCCUGAGAGGCGUUUUGAUCACGUGAACGUGGACCUGGUGGGGCCGCUUCCCCCCUCCCGUGGUUACACCUACCUACUCACCAUGGUGGACAGGACCACCAGGUGGCCAGAAGUGGUUCCCCUGUCCUCCACUACAGCAGCUGAGGUGCCUGAUCUAUCAUGUCGCUCUGCUGCCGUACAAACAAACAAACUGGGGUGGGAUAGUAUGGAGCCAAAUCCAGGUCAAAAGUUUUGUUCAUUUGAAAAACAAAUGUCAACCUGAAAGUUUUCUUUUUGAACAAUUAAAAAUACAACAAUGUAUUCAAAAUAAAAUUAAGCAGACGAAAAAUAUCUUUGAAUAAAAUAUUUUUUUCAAUCUUCACCUCUCUAUAUAUUUUUAUAUUCACUAUAUUUUUCAGUUGCAGAUUUUAUAUUUUCAAUUUCAGAUCUUUUUUUCACAUUCAGACUUUUGACCCUGAUGGGGCGGGGCAUCAACUGGUAGGGCGUGUCAUCAUGAGUGACAGCUUAACAUAUAAGGCUGAGGACAGAUUCGGACAUCCCGGUUCAAUAGCUGGUCAGCGAAGUGUUAUUGAAACACAAACGACACCUCCCCGUAACCGCAGUGAUGUAGACAACCAGCUACAACCACAAUUAAGCAUAAUUUUAGGAAUACGGACUGGUCUGCGAGCUGGACGAAUCACAUUGACCAUAAUGUGCAGCUGUGACCGUCUGCAAAGCGACAUUACCAUGGUUACAGAGAGGUGUCGUUUGUGUUUUAAUAACGUUUCGCUGACCAGCUUUUAAACCAGGAAGUCAGAAUCUGUGAAUAUCUUUCCAACUAUACCAAACUCAGACACCAUCGCACAGAUGCUGCGCUGAAUUCACAGUUGUUUGUGGAAGUGGGAAACUUACGGUGGCUCUGAAGUGCAAAACACAACGACAAAUAAGAAAUUACAACAGCAAAAAGGAAAACACAACAACAUUAACUUCUUACGUAAAGGGUAGGGCCUGUUUUGCACUUCAGAGCCACCCUAGGAACUUCAGAGAUUCACGUGCGGUUGAUGGUUAAUUCUGAGAUAGUUAACUGGUCUUAUUCUGUGAUUCAUGCCAAGUAGGAUCCAAAACAGCUCAAUAAACAGAACGCUCUCUGGCGUCAAUGUUUUUACAUCCAAUCUUAAAUAUAUUGAAGAGAAAGGGUUGAUUCUUAAGUCUCGCGUGCCUACGUCUCCUCAAGGCAAUGCAGUUGAGAAAGCUGUCACUCAUGAUGACACGCCCCUCCCAGUUAAUGACACGCCCCUGCGCCAUAUCGGGGUCAAAAGUCUAAAUGUGAAAAAAAAGAUCUGAAUGUGAAUAUAUAAAAUCUCAAAGUAUAAUAAUUAUAUAACUAAUAUAACUAACAUUCUUAGUUCACUCUCUUCUACACCGCUGUCUAUUUUACCACCAGAAACAUUUGCCUGCUGCAGCAGCGAGUUGGCCUUUGCUUAUAUUACGUCUUAGAAUAAUUGGCACGGGCGCGAUCUGACAGCCAAUAACGAUUUGCAGUGACAAAAAAAAAAAAAAAACCUGACUGUUUGAAUAUUAUUUUAAAUUAUGGACAUACUCAAAAGAGUAUCGAAGUAGAUUACAUGGUGUAAAGUGUACUCAAGUAGGAGUAAAAUUACACACUUGAAGAAAAUACUCAUACACACAUAUAUAAAACAGUGUGUUUAGGAAACCUGCAUGUUUGUCUGGCAGAUCAUUUAGAAUGGAAUUUUGCUCUUCUGUACUUCUGACUGGCAAACCGCUCAAUGACCUGCUUAUAUAAGUUAGUUAUGUCCCUGACAAGUUUCUUCUCCAUGGAGAGCAUAGCCAGAGCAUUCAGGCAAUCCUGUGUCAUGGUGUUUCUCAGGAAGGUUUUGAUACUCUUCAAAGUAGAGAAACAUCUUUCGGAUUCAGAUUCCAUGGGUGUGGUGAUGAGGAUCCUGACAGUCUCUGUGAAGAUGCUUUGAAGGUUGUUCUUCAUGAAAAACUGGUACAUAGAAACUGCACCACUGCAAGCCUUGAACGCACUGUUCUCAUUGAUGGACAGUUCUGUUUUGAGCUUGGCUUGGUUCAACAUGGGAUAAGCCUCCAUUGUUGUUGUCCAAGUGCUGAAUCAGGGAAUUUCCCACUGUUGUGGGAACAACUCUCCAUGAAACAGUGUUGUGCUGAUGAGGUGCUGGGUGAAUCUAAACGGCAGAGGAGGUCUCUGAGCUCAAGGCAAGCUCUUUGGUAGCGCUUUGGUCCAAAAGUGAAGUUGGUCUUACGCUGCUAAAAUGGACUCCUCACGCCCAGGUAGUCAGGUCCGUAAUCUAGCAACGGGUCUGCUGAGUCCUUACGUGGUCGCGUCAUUCUGUCGCGAUCGGGUAGGCAGAAGCAGGACUCAAACAAAGUUGCAACAAAGAAAGGACUUUAAUAGUAGAAAUCAAAAUCAAAAAUGCCAAGGGGCAAAAACGCAGACACGGACAGGGACCGAGAACUCACAAGAUGUUCAAGGAAUGACAUUGACGAGCACGAACGGUAUUUAGGGUUGAACAUUCAAUGAUGCAACAAAGGACGAACGACACACAGGGCUUAAAUACACUGGGAAGGUGCAGGUGAUUGGACACAGGUGGAAACAAUCAGAGACGCGGCAGACAAUUACAGAGGAUGACAAGGCAGGAAGUGAAGUAACCCAGGGACACAAGAGGCAGAAAAGACACAUGAUGGCUAGAAAUUGAAAUGCUGCUGAAGUGAAAGAACAGGACAUAUUUCUUUUGAUGUUAAAACGUGUAGCAUACCCAUCUGUAUUUAGUAUGACGGCAAGCAUUUAUGUAAGAGAGCAAAGAAAGGAUCCAUUAGGUUGAAACUCAGCAGCUAAUAGUUGCAGAUCACCGCAAUCCUGCCAGCUAGGCUCUGCUAAUCCCGGCCCAUUUGCCCGACUACUACCCCACCCUACCUUACUAAAAUGACUUGGCUGGAGUCAGCCAGGGUUUCCAUCUACUGUAUACUGCCGAACUUCAACCUAUAAGGUGGAAUCCAGAAGGGCAGUGGUGAUCCCUUCACAUUAACCAGACACUGCUGUGCAACUAAAAAAACAGAAUAUCAAACAGAUUAACAGAAAUAGUCUGAUUAAUAAUCGUCAGGAUACAUAAAUCUAUGCAAACCCAGUCACCGUUGGCACUAUUGGCAGUGCUUCCCGCAGGUGCUGCUUGGUUUACGAAGCAUCCACACAUACAAACUAAUAUUUGCUCACAUCCUACACAUUCCUCCCCCAUUCUGUGUUAUUCCUGAUUACCCGUAAACGAGCAAAUAUUUUCCCAGUGUUCGCCAGGUUAGAUCCCCAUUUAAUUAAACUGGCUCAUUAUGUCGCUCUCUGAUUAGUAGAGGAGAAUCAAUUAUUCAAUUCACAAACAUGGGCCGCAGGAGCUGAAAGUGCACAACGAGCUGCUCAUUUAAUUCCAAGGACACUAAUUAGCUACAAAGCAAGCAGUAACUUUUUUUUCUUCCUUCCCCUACCUUUUUUUCUAAUUACCGCACAUGCAGGAGACUUAAAGUUAGCAAGCAGAGGAGGAGGAGGAAUCACAGGACUGGCUGUGGGUGGUGUUUUAAGGAGGUGUUUUGGGAACAGGGAUGGGAGAGGGGUGUGGUGGGUUGAUCUUUGCCUUAUUUAGCAGGAUUCUCCACUAGUUAGUGAGGUCAAGGAGGAGAAGUAGGCAGGGGGAAGCUUAUUUGCUGAUAUGUAGAUCACUGAACCUAAGCAUUCAGGAAACGACCCUGGGGAUUUGUGGAUGUGUCGAGACGGGGCUGCUUACUUUUGUUCUCUGCAAUCAAACAGCGGGCAAUUAUCCGAAUUAUUGACAGCAGAUUUCUCAUUUCAACUGCAAAUUAAGGCUAUCAAUAAAGCUUUCUGAUGCAAAAGUGACUAAUUAACCAACAGAGUGGAUCUCUGAAGCCUUGAUAUAAAUAAAGCCUCCAGUCGGCUGCAUGCAGUGGAAACACAGGGGAACUAAUUAGUUUAAUUAUCAAAACAGCUAAUUAAAAUUACACAGUUGCCUAAUUAGUUCUGUGCUUCUUGCUGUCUCCUUUUCUCCCUCUUUCUUUUUUCAUAAAUGCCCUCUCACUCUUUAAUUGACAGGUUGAAUUUUAAUAUAAAACAGAAAAAAAGGGAGCAGUGUGUGUGUGUGGAGGUUUUGUCUAUGCAUAUAUGCCUUGAAGGAAGCAGAAACGCCCAUAGCCUUUGCUGAAUAUCUUGGAGUGCAACAUAACUGUAGCAGAAUAAAUGACCGUUGAACCUUUGGUGAGACAGUCCAAAAUUUUCUCCCAUUAAUUCGUCCCUGGGAUUGCAUAGAGGGGAAGCGGGGACAGAGGGGUUGUCAAAUGCUGGGAAGCCAAGCCGAUGCAAAGCGACAAACCAUGCACAAAUCUGCAGCAUUAACAAAUGUAAUUUGGCAAACAAGCAAAAUGUAACAGUUAAUAAUUGUGUAAAUUAAAGUUAUUUUACACCAAACUAUUUGAGCAGUUCUGGGGUGUAACUAAAUACAGACACAUUACAUGCCACCAUCACGUAAUGCACUUUUAGGAGGUUUUGGUUAUUUACCAUAUUUCUGUGUGCUCAUGUUGGCUUUUGCCCGUUCUCAUCGUUCAUGUAUCAGAUAUAACUUACUCGCUUGAAGCCCAAGAAAGUAACUCUCUCCAGCAUUUCACAAAAGCUCAGUUUCUACCACAUUUUUCCUCUUACGAUAUCUCAAAUUCCUCUUGUGUAGAACCCAACCCUGCAGUUAACUAAAGUAGUCAAAACAAGUUCCAUCUCAUCAGUACUAAUAUUGCAAUUGAUUGGCUCACUCAGAAGCCAAUAUUCUGCAAAGCAAGUAGCCUCCAUAGCUCUGGUGAGUACGGGCAACCACGAUGUAUUCUUCCUAAACUCGUACAAAUUGUGGUCAAAAGUAUUUUUUCUCAGAAGGUUGGGAACGAAAGAGUAUGGAGAAAGAUGUGCGGGCGACCCAAUACAGAUUUUUACUGCCUUAAAUUUCUACUAAUGAACACAAACACUGAAUUGCUGUCCCUCUAUAAACUGAUCAGCACUGGAGCAACUUCUUUCCACACACUGUGGAAUGCAGAAAUACAAACAUUUGUGAUAUUACUUGACACAAGUUUUCAAAGGCGUAAAACCAUACAUUUAGUGAUAACACAGCAUACUGUGUGUAUGUUUAGAGAAUGUGCGUUGACAUUGAACCACCCCAAUGUUGGAUCCUUAGUGGAGCAUCUUGUAAUGGAGGAGUAUUGCUGCGUCCGUCCAGCCUGUCACAUAUGUUCUUAAGCCUCUGACAAUAAAAUGACUAGAGCGCACUGACCUUUCCUUAUAACUGUGUAGGAGAGCUGAGGACCCUUAGCCAGGGUUCACGUUGCUUCAGCCACUGGGUAGUUAAGGCCUGAUAACAAUACUGGCCCACAGCCGUGACCCUGAAGUGUCACUGGCGUGUUCAGGGAGUGGCCUAGGGUGGAAUCUGAUUGGCCACCCCAAGUGCCAACCCAAUAUCUUAAAAUAUGAUUGUCUAUAUGCCCAGUCAGAGGCGGGCCACGGCACUGAAUGUAAACUGCACUCUUGUUUAGAGUUGCAGAUCAGUGUUAGUGAAGUAGAUAUGGGUUGUGAAUACAAAAAUGUUAAAUUAAUGCUAUGCCGACACCUGGGUGUGGGUGUGUAUUUUCGUGUGUGUGUGUGUGUGCAUACGUGAGUGUAUAUGUCCUCGCAGGCGCUCCUGCUCACACUUCAUACCACCCCUGCAUACAUCAGUGCCCCACUGGUGUCACCCCUAUCAAAAAUGUCUGGACACGCCCCUGUGAAGUGUAUCACAGCUCUGGGUGGAUAGCGAAGAAGGUGACAAGGAGGUCAGCAGUACUGGACUGCAAAAAGUCUGCAUAGAAAAGUGUAUUUUUUAGAUGCAGCUAUGAUGUCUGGCCACUUGUCAUAGGUCUUCUAGAGAAUGCAUUUGAGACCGCAAUUAACACACAAUAAAUUACUCAGAGCAUUUGCAUACUAUGGGCUUUCUUUCACCUAACCCUCCUGCAAAAGUAUUUAGCUGGGUUUAGGACACUGUUCAGCGCUUUUCUCGUCUCUUCCAGGCGACCACUCAAAGCGCCAUAACACUUUUUCAUUCACCCACCACAGCUAGAGGAGCAAUUUUGGGAUUAAGGCUACGUCUACACUUCUACACUUUCGUUUUAGAACGCAUGUUUAGCUGUGUAACGAAUGCUAUGCUAGACAACGAAUCAGUUUGGAAAUUUUCCCGAGGAGGUAUCACUUUGAAAACGCAAGCAUUUUGUCUUCGUGUAAAUAGUCGAAACGGAUAAGUUUGGAAUUGAUCAUGGCCACUCCCACGUUCACUACUUGUUCCUUAGCAGUCGUGACGUGUCCUUGCCUGAUAUCAUCAAACUCCUAUCACGUGACAGUUGGGGUAUCACAUGGGGACAGGUUGUGGAGGGGCGCUAUAUUAUACUACUGCCAGUAGUUAAUGGUGACUGGGUUCCGUGGUCUCAAUACCUGAGACAGCAAGACCGGGCGGCAUUCUCAGGAGAAUGGACUCGGGAGAACUGACUCAGGAGUCCAAACUCACGCGUAUGGGAGAACGGAGAACGCUUAUUUCCACAAUGGGAACAGCAUUUGACUUGAUAACACAACAUCAGCUGCUAAUGCAUUUUAAUUUUUUCACUCUUAAAUAGUUUUACUAUCAAGCUUUUGUUUUCAUUGUUUUCAUUUAAAACAAAACAAUAGAAUAUACAGUCAGGUCCAUAAAGAUUUGUUGAGAUAUUUAAUAUAUUUUAUUUCCGAUAUGAGUUCAUUCUGGUGCUCCAUUAUACAGUCAGGUCCAUAAAUAUUUGGACAUUGACACUUUUCAUUAUUUUGGCUCUGUACACCACAACAAUGGAGUUGAAAUGAAAAAACGUUCAGCUUUAUUUUUUUAGUUUAUGGUUUAUUUAUUUGAGGGUAUUUACAUCCAAAUCAGGUAAACGGUGAAUGAAUUACAACAAAUUCAAAUGUGGCCACCCUCUGUUAAGUAAUUGGACAUUUGGCUGCUCAGCUGUUCCAAGGU